CCUACGGGAGGCUGCAGUAGGGAAUCUUCGGCAAUGGACGGAAGUCUGACCGAGCAACGCCGCGUGAGUGAAGAAGGUUUUCGGAUCGUAAAGCUCUGUUGUAAGAGAAGAACGAGUGUGAGAGUGGAAAGUUCACACUGUGACGGUAUCUUACCAGAAAGGGACGGCUAACUACGUGCCAGCAGCCGCGGUAAUACGUAGGUCCCGAGCGUUGUCCGGAUUUAUUGGGCGUAAAGCGAGCGCAGGCGGUUAGAUAAGUCUGAAGUUAAAGGCUGUGGCUUAACCAUAGUACGCUUUGGAAACUGUUUAACUUGAGUGCAAGAGGGGAGAGUGGAAUUCCAUGUGUAGCGGUGAAAUGCGUAGAUAUAUGGAGGAACACCGGUGGCGAAAGCGGCUCUCUGGCUUGUAACUGACGCUGAGGCUCGAAAGCGUGGGGAGCAAACAGGAUUAGAUACCCGGGUAGUC
rnacentral:rRNA from 1 species